UACGUAGGGUGCAAGCGUUGUCCGGAAUUAUUGGGCGUAAAGAGCUCGUAGGCGGUCUGUCGCGUCUGCUGUGAAAACUCAGGGCUUAACCCUGAGCUUGCAGUGGGUACGGGCAGACUAGAGUGCGGUAGGGGAGACUGGAAUUCCUGGUGUAGCGGUGAAAUGCGCAGAUAUCAGGAGGAACACCGGUGGCGAAGGCGGGUCUCUGGGCCGGUCCUGACGCUGAGACGCGAAGGCGUGGGGAGCGAACGGG
rnacentral:rRNA from 1 species